AUGUUCACAUUUCUCUCCACUGUUACUGUCUCACUGCUCUGUGCUGCAGGUCUUGUUGAGGGGAGUGAAGUCACUCAGACACCCACCAUACUCUGGGAACUGAAAGACAGGGAUGCUCAGAUGAACUGCAGUCACACUAAGGGAGCUAGCUACAACCAGAUGUACUGGUACAGACAGCUUCCAGGAGAGGGAAUGAAGCAGGUAGUCUACACAAGUAGUUAUAGCAAAGCCGAAUAUGGAGACUUCAGUGAAGACAAAUUCUCAGCCAACAAGACUGUAGCUGAGAGGGGAUCUUUCACAGUGAAGAAGUUGGAGGCAGGAGACAGCGGCAUGUACUUCUGUGCUGUGAGUCAACACAGUGAUACAGACAACAAAACCAUCAACAUGAUCAAGCUUCUCAUACAUGUAGCAACUCUACCACUAUGGGUGACAGGUUCUUCUCUCAGUAACCAGGUUCACCAGAAACCUGCAGCCCUGUACAAGAACCAGGGAGAGUUGGCUAAGAUGGAGUGUUCACAUAGUAUAUCAACCUAUAAUGUCAUCCUCUGUCUGGACCACUAA